GACUGUAAAUUCGUUGACGACUGUCUACGCUGGUUCAAAUCCAGCUCGGCCCAAGAAUUCACCCCGUCCCAUGAGUA
rnacentral:tRNA from 1 species